UACGUAGGGUGCAAGCGUUAUUCGGAAUCACUGGGCAUAAAGGGCGCGUAGGCGGCUCCAAAAGUCAGGGGUGAAAUCCGGCAGCUUAACUGUCGCAGUGCCUUUGAUACUGUGGAGCUAGAGGGAGGUAGGGGUCUGUGGAACUUCCGGUGGAGCGGUGAAAUGCGUUGAUAUCGGAAGGAACGCCGGUGGCGAAAGCGACGGACUGGAUCUCUUCUGACGCUGAGGCGCGAAAGCCAGGGGAGCAAACGGG
rnacentral:rRNA from 1 species